GGUAGCUCUAGCUCAGUGGUUGGGAUGUUGGACUGGGGAUCAGCAGGUUGUGAGUUCAAAUCUCUGCGCUGCCA